rnacentral:rRNA from 1 species
UACGUAGGUGGCGAGCGUUGUCCGGAUUUACUGGGCGUAAAGAGCGCGCAGGCGGUCGAUCAAGUCGGAUGUGAAAGCCCCCGGCUCAACUGGGGAGGGUCACGCGAUACUGAUCGACUCGAAGGCAGGAGAGGGAAGUGGAAUUCCCGGUGUAGUGGUGAAAUGCGUAGAUAUCGGGAGGAACACCAGUGGCGAAGGCGACUUCCUGGCCUGUUCUUGACGCUGAGGCGCGAAAGCUAGGGGAGCAAACGGG